AGAUUAACUUGUGCUUCAAGCUA
rnacentral:siRNA from 1 species